GGGUAUAGCUCAGUGGUAGAGCGAGUGCACGAGGUCCUGGGUUCAAUCCCCAGUACCUCCA
rnacentral:tRNA from 1 species